rnacentral:rRNA from 1 species
AUGAACGCUGGCGGCGUGCCUAAUACCUGCAAGUCGAGCGAACAGACGAGGAGCUUGCUCCUCUGACGUUAGCGGCGGACGGGUGAGUAAUACGUGGAUAACCUACCUAUAAGACUGGGAUAACUUCGGGAAACCGGAGCUAAUACCGGAUAAUAUAUUGAACCGCAUGGUUCAAUAGUGAAAGACGGUUUUGCUGUCACUUAUAGAUGGAUCCGCGCCGCAUUAGCUAGUUGGUAAGGUAACGGCUUACCAAGGCAACGAUGCGUAGCCGACCUGAGAGGGUGAUCGGCCACACUGGAACUGAGACACGGUCCAGACUCCUACGGGAGGCAGCAGUAGGGAAUCUUCCGCAAUGGGCGAAAGCCUGACGGAGCAACGCCGCGUGAGUGAUGAAGGUCUUCGGAUCGUAAAACUCUGUUAUUAGGGAAGAACAAAUGUGUAAGUAACUAUGCACGUCUUGACGGUACCUAAUCAGAAAGCCACGGCUAACUACGUG